GAAUUGCGGCGGCUACCAUGCAGUCGAGCGGUAGCACAGAGAGCUUGCUCUCGGGUGACGAGCGGCGGACGGGUGAGUAAUGUCUGGGAAACUGCCUGAUGGAGGGGGAUAACUACUGGAAACGGUAGCUAAUACCGCAUAACGUCGCAAGACCAAAGAGGGGGACCUUCGGGCCUCUUGCCAUCAGAUGUGCCCAGAUGGGAUUAGCUAGUAGGUGGGGUAACGGCUCACCUAGGCGACGAUCCCUAGCUGGUCUGAGAGGAUGACCAGCCACACUGGAACUGAGACACGGUCCAGACUCCUACGGGAGGCAGCAGUGGGGAAUAUUGCACAAUGGGCGCAAGCCUGAUGCAGCCAUGCCGCGUGUAUGAAGAAGGCCUUCGGGUUGUAAAGUACUUUCAGCGGGGAGGAAGGUGUUGAGGUUAAUAACCUCAGCAAUUGACGUUACCCGCAGAAGAAGCACCGGCUAACUCCGUGCCAGCAGCCGCGGUAAUACGGAGGGUGCAAGCGUUAAUCGGAAUUACUGGGCGUAAAGCGCACGCAGGCGGUCUGUCAAGUCGGAUGUGAAAUCCCCGGGCUCAACCUGGGAACUGCAUUCGAAACUGGCAGGCUAGAGUCUUGUAGAGGGGGGUAGAAUUCCAGGUGUAGCGGUGAAAUGCGUAGAGAUCUGGAGGAAUACCGGUGGCGAAGGCGGCCCCCUGGACAAAGACUGACGCUCAGGUGCGAAAGCGUGGGGAGCAAACAGGAUUAGAUACCCUGGUAGUCCACGCCGUAAACGAUGUCGACUUGGAGGUUGUGCCCUUGAGGCGUGGCUUCCGGAGCUAACGCGUUAAGUCGACCGCCUGGGGAGUACGGCCGCAAGGUUAAAACUCAAAUGAAUUGACGGGGGCCCGCACAAGCGGUGGAGCAUGUGGUUUAAUUCGAUGCAACGCGAAGAACCUUACCUACUCUUGACAUCCAGAGAACUUUCCAGAGAUGGAUUGGUGCCUUCGGGAACUCUGAGACAGGUGCUGCAUGGCUGUCGUCAGCUCGUGUUGUGAAAUGUUGGGUUAAGUCCCGCAACGAGCGCAACCCUUAUCCUUUGUUGCCAGCGGUCCGGCCGGGAACUCAAAGGAGACUGCCAGUGAUAAACUGGAGGAAGGUGGGGAUGACGUCAAGUCAUCAUGGCCCUUACGAGUAGGGCUACACACGUGCUACAAUGGCGCAUACAAAGAGAAGCGACCUCGCGAGAGCAAGCGGACCUCAUAAAGUGCGUCGUAGUCCGGAUUGGAGUCUGCAACUCGACUCCAUGAAGUCGGAAUCGCUAGUAAUCGUAGAUCAGAAUGCUACGGUGAAUACGUUCCCGGGCCUUGUACACACCGCCCGUCACACCAUGGGAGUGGGUUGCAAAAGAAGUAGGUAGCUUAACCUUCGGGAGGGCGCUACCACUUGGAUCCGGGGU
rnacentral:rRNA from 1 species